rnacentral:rRNA from 1 species
GGAGUUUGGACCGUGUCUCAGUUCCAAUGUGGGGGACCUUCCUCUCAGAACCCCUACCGAUCGAGGGCUUGGUGGGCCGUUACCCCGCCAACUACCUAAUCGGACGCAUCCCCAUCCACGGCCGCCAAAGCUUUAGUCCCCGUCAGAUGCCUUCAAAGGACGCCAUAGGGCAUUAAUUCGGUUUUCACCGGGCUAUUCCCUGGCCGUGGGCAGGUUGGAUACGCGUUACUCACCCGUGCGCCGGUCGCCAUCAGAGUUUGCAAGCAAACUCCAUGCUGCCCCUCGACUUGCAUGUGUUAAGCCUGUAGCUAGCGUUCAUC